UUGGCUUCUUGUUUUAUUCUAGUCGACAUACACCGAUUUAAGUUUAGAUUUCGUGUUUGUUGUUAAUUGAAGCCAAAUAUAAAAUGUUCCCCUCGCUAUCCAGUGCCUGCUUUUUAUGUUGCAUUUGGACGUUGGGGAACUACAUUG
rfam:Morus notabilis contig16870, whole genome shotgun sequence.